GCCCCUGUGGAUCAUGGUGAUCAGCUGUAUUAUGUGCAUGUGUGUCAUAAAGUUUAUGCAGCCGUUGUGGGUUCGACUCCCACCGGGGGCA